UUGAAAAUAUGAGAAAUGUCUGGAUUGGCUCUGGAGUGGCUAUAUGUGUAGCUGUUGUCCUGGUUGUGAUAUUGACCAUGAUAUGCAAGAGAAGAACAGUUCAAAGGAAGACGGCACAUAAUCAUGUUUCACAGAGCCACACAGUCACCGAUCAGAACAAGGGAGAGAGUGAGGACACCGUUACCUAUGCUGUGGUCAAUCCCUCUGCUGGUGGAAAAAGGAAACAAGACCAAGAAAGUGCUGUGCUCGAAACUGAAUAUGC